AGAGUUUGAUCCUGGCUCAGAGUGAACGCUGGCGGCGUGCCUAAUACAUGCAAGUCGAACGAUGAAGCUUCUAGCUUGCUAGAAUGCUGAUUAGUGGCGCACGGGUGAGUAACGCAUAGGUCAUGUGCCUCUUAGUUUGGGAUAGCCAUUGGAAACGAUGAUUAAUACCAGAUACUCCCUACGGGGGAAAGAUUUAUCGCUAAGAGAUCAGCCUAUGUCCUAUCAGCUUGUUGGUAAGGUAAUGGCUUACCAAGGCUAUGACGGGUAUCCGGCCUGAGAGGGUGAACGGACACACUGGAACUGAGACACGGUCCAGACUCCUACGGGAGGCAGCAGUAGGGAAUAUUGCUCAAUGGGGGAAACCCUGAAGCAGCAACGCCGCGUGGAGGAUGAAGGUUUUAGGAUUGUAAACUCCUUUUGUUAGAGAAGAUAAUGACGGUAUCUAACGAAUAAGCACCGGCUAACUCCGUGCCAGCAGCCGCGGUAAUACGGAGGGUGCAAGCGUUACUCGGAAUCACUGGGCGUAAAGAGCGCGUAGGCGGGAUAGUCAGUCAGGUGUGAAAUCCUAUGGCUUAACCAUAGAACUGCAUUUGAAACUACUAUUCUAGAGUGUGGGAGAGGUAGGUGGAAUUCUUGGUGUAGGGGUAAAAUCCGUAGAGAUCAAGAGGAAUACUCAUUGCGAAGGCGACCUGCUGGAACAUUACUGACGCUGAUUGCGCGAAAGCGUGGGGAGCAAACAGGAUUAGAUACCCUGGUAGUCCACGCCCUAAACGAUGGAUGCUAGUUGUUGGAGGGCUUAGUCUCUCCAGUAAUGCAGCUAACGCAUUAAGCAUCCCGCCUGGGGAGUACGGUCGCAAGAUUAAAACUCAAAGGAAUAGACGGGGACCCGCACAAGCGGUGGAGCAUGUGGUUUAAUUCGAAGAUACACGAAGAACCUUACCUAGGCUUGACAUUGAGAGAAUCCGCUAGAAAUAGUGGAGUGUCUGGCUUGCCAGACCUUGAAAACAGGUGCUGCACGGCUGUCGUCAGCUCGUGUCGUGAGAUGUUGGGUUAAGUCCCGCAACGAGCGCAACCCCCUUUCUUAGUUGCUAACAGGUUAUGCUGAGAACUCUAAGGAUACUGCCUCCGUAAGGAGGAGGAAGGUGGGGACGACGUCAAGUCAUCAUGGCCCUUACGCCUAGGGCUACACACGUGCUACAAUGGGGUGCACAAAGAGAAGCAAUACUGCGAAGUGGAGCCAAUCUUCAAAACAUCUCUCAGUUCGGAUUGUAGGCUGCAACUCGCCUGCAUGAAGCUGGAAUCGCUAGUAAUCGCAAAUCAGCCAUGUUGCGGUGAAUACGUUCCCGGGUCUUGUACUCACCGCCCGUCACACCAUGGGAGUUGUGUUUGCCUUAAGUCAGGAUGCUAAAUUGGCUACUGCCCACGGCACACACAGCGACUGGGGUGAAGUCGUAACAAGGUAACCGUAGGUGAACCUGCGGUUG
rnacentral:rRNA from 3 species